CCCCUAGAUGUUCUGGGCCGCACGCGCGCUACACUGAACAGUUCAACAAGUCUUAACCUUGGCCGAUAGGUCUGGGUAAUCUUUGAACGCUGUUCGUGAUUGGGAUAGACCUUUGCAAUUAUGGGUCUUCAACGAGGAAUUCCUAGUAAACGCAAGUCAUCAGCUUGCAUUGAUUACGUCCCUGCCCUUUGUACACACCGCCGUCGCACCUACCGAUUGAAUGGUCCGGUGAAAUCUCGGGACGGCGGCUUGGUCGCUUGCGUCCGACUGCUGAAACUUGAUUAAACCAUAUCAUUUAGAGGAAGGUGAAGUCGUAACA
rnacentral:rRNA from 1 species